GGCCUGGUGGUCUAGUAGUAUGAUUCCUUCUUAGGGCUCUCUUGUCAUUUGGAGGAGGUCCCGGGUUCAAUUCCCGGCCAGGCCC